rnacentral:rRNA from 1 species
GGCUAAUGCCUGGCCAGCGGCGGGGGUAAUACGGAGGAUCCAAGCUGUAUCCGGAAUCAGUGGGUUUAAAGGGUCCGUAGGCGGUCUUAGAAGUCAGGGGUGAAAGCCCAUCGCUCAACGAUGGAACUGCCAUUGAUACUGUAGGACUUGAAUGCUUAGGAAGUAACUAGAAUAUGUAGUGUAGCGGUGAAAUGCUUAGAUAUUACAUGGAAUACCAAUUGCGAAGGCAGGUUACUACUAAGUGAUUGACGCUGAUGGACGAAAGCGUGGGGAGCGAACAGGAUUAGAUACCCGAGUAGC